GACGAACGCUGGCGGCGUGCUUAACACAUGCAAGUCGAACGGAAAGGCCCUGCGUUUGUGGGGUGCUCGAUUGGCGAACGGGUGAGUAACACGUGAGUAACCUGCCCUUGACUUUGGGAUAACUUCAGGAAACUGGGGCUAAUACCGGAUAGGAUCUCCUGCUGCAUGGGGGGGGUUGGAAAGUGUCGGCGGUUGGGGAUGGACUCGCGGCUUAUCAGCUUGUUGGUGGGGUAGUGGCUUACCAAGGCUUUGACGGGUAGCCGGCCUGAGAGGGUGACCGGCCACAUUGGGACUGAGGUACGGCCCAGACUCCUACGGGCGGCAGCAGUGGGGAAUCUUGCACAAUGGGCCGAAGCCUGAUGCAGCAACGCCGCGUGCGGGAUGCUGGCCUUCGGGUUGUAAACCGCUUUCGCAUGUAACGAAGCGUGAGUGACGGUAAUGGGUAAAGAAGCACCGGCUAACUACGUG
rnacentral:rRNA from 1 species